ensembl:misc_RNA Metazoa_SRP Metazoan signal recognition particle RNA
GCUGGGUGCAGUGGCGCGUGCCUGUAGCCCCAGCUACCGGGGAGGCUGAGACUGGAGGAUCACUUGAGCCCAAGAAUUCUGGCCUGUAGUUCGCUAGGCUGAUCGGGUGUCUGCACUAAGUUCAGCAUCAAUAUGGUGACCUCCCAGGAGCGGGGGACCACCAGGUUGCCAAAGGAGGGGUGAACCGGCCCAGGUCAGGAACAGAGCAGGUCAAAACUACCAUGCCGAUCAGUAGUGGGAUCGCACCUGUGAAUAGCCACUGCAUUCCAGCCUGGGAAACAUAGUGAGACCCUGUCUCUA